rnacentral:rRNA from 1 species
AUGCCGUUGUUUGAUCGAGAUCGCUACCAGAGGCUGCCGCUCGACGUCGGCGGCGGUGGCGCCCGGCGGCCCGCGUCGUCCUGCGCCACAGCCACGGUCGUCCUCUUCGUGGGGCUCUGCCUCGUCGCCGCGUGGCUGAUGGCGCCCACGAGCCACGUCCCGAUGGGCGUCUCACCGGACAAGGCCGGGGAGGACACGGACGUCGGCUUGACCCGCAGCGUCGUCAAGGGUGCCGACGCCGACAUGACACAGACAACAGACAAGGCUGCCAAGGAGGAGGACGACGGUCCGGCCGUGCAAACGACGGAGGUCGACCAGAGCGCAGAGACGACGGAUGCCGAUGCCAACAGCGCCACCGCAGGCAAGCCCGACGGCGACACCGUAACCGGGGCCGAGUCGCCGUCCAAGAACCUCACACCCUCUCACGACAGCGGCAUGACGGAAGGCGGGGAUGUGGCCAAGCCGGAGGAAGACCCCGACAAGAAUGUCCAGAAUAACACGGAGGAGGCGACGACCGACAAGGGCGCCGAGGAUGUGUCGACAGGCACGAACCAGAGCGGCGGCAACAAUACCGAGCAGGACACGGAGGAAGCGACGACCGACAAGGGCGCCGAGGAGUCGACAGGAACGAAGCAGAGCGGCAGCAACAACGCCAAGCAGAACACGGAGGAGGCGACGACCGACAAGGGCGCCGAGGAUGCGUCGACAGGCACGAACCAGAGCGGCGGCAACAACGCCGAGCAGAACACGGAGGAGGGGACGACCGACAAGAGCGCCGAGGAUGCGUCGACAGACACGAACCAGAGUGGUGGCAACAAUGCCGAGCAGAACACGGAGGAGGCGACGACCUACAAGAGCGCCGAGGAUGCGUCAACAGGCACAAACCAGAGCACGGAGGAGGCACCAAAAGACACGACGGACACCGGUGACCAGGUUGAUAAAAGCUCCGGCACUACAGAGACCGGCGGCCAGGGCGAGAAGAACGUCGAGGCGGCGCUGACCGAGAAGAAGGCUGAGACAGAGGAUAACAUCACCAACAAGAACGCCGAAGAGACGCCGGCCUACGCAAAAGAAGCUGGCGACGACGGUAUGGAGAAGAACCAGACGGCCUUCGACGACCGGACCGGCGACGAUGCGGCCACCGGCGCUGCAUCCAAGAACCAAACGUUCGUCGACAAGAACGACAGACCCAGGAACCAGACAUCUACAACUGUAGAUGACACACUCUCUGAAGAAGACGGAAUGGUUCUAACGAACAGUAGCACCACCACCCAAGGCGAAGACGAGAGGCCAGUGACGGAGCCGGUGACCGGCGGCGACGCAGAAACGGCGGAGCUGCUGCCGAGCGGGCAGGCGGAGCUUCUCAACGAGACGACGACGGCUGAGCAGGACGUCACGUUCCCGACACAGGCGACGGAGUCGACCGAGGAGAAGGCGCGAAACAGCAGGAAGAAGAAGGAGCACCAGAACAACGGCAAUGUGGUGGUCGUCGUCGGCGAGUCGUCGACGGAGGAGGCAUCGUACGUGUGGAAGCUGUGCAACACGAGCGCCGGCGCGGACUACAUCCCGUGCCUGGACAACGAGGCGGCCAUCAAGGGCCUCAAGAGCAACAAGCACUACGAGCACCGCGAGCGGCACUGCCCGUCCCCAGCGCCGUCAUGCCUGGUGCCGCUGCCGGAGGGCUACCGGCAGCCGAUCCCGUGGCCGGAAAGCCGCGAGAGGAUCUGGUACAACAACGUGCCGCACACCAAGCUGGCGCUGUACAAGGGGCACCAAAACUGGGUGAAGGUGUCCGGCGACGGCGAGCACCUGGUGUUCCCGGGCGGCGGCACGCAGUUCCUGAACGGCGCGUCGCACUACAUCGACGUGAUCCAGGAGGCGCUCCCGGCGGUGGCGUGGGGGACGCGCAGCCGCGUGGCGCUUGACGUCGGCUGCGGCGUGGCAAGCUUGGGCGGGUACCUGUUCGACAAGGACGUGCUGGCCAUGUCCUUCGCGCCCAAGGACGAGCACGAGGCGCAGGUGCAGUUCGCGCUGGAGCGCGGGAUCCCGGCCAUCUCGGCUGUGAUGGGCACGAAGCGGCUCCCCUUCCCCGGCGGCGCCUACGACUUGGUGCACUGCGCGCGGUGCCGCGUGCCGUGGCACAUCGAGGGAGGCAAGCUGCUGCUGGAGGCGAACCGGCUGCUCCGGCCCGGCGGGCUGUUCGUGUGGUCAGCGACGCCGGUGUACCGGAAGGACGCGGAGAACGUGGGGAUCUGGCAGGCCAUGGCUGCACUGACAAAGUCCAUGUGCUGGGAGAUGGUGACGAGGACGAGCGACACGGUGGACCAGACCGCCAUGGUCAUCUUCAAGAAGCCGUCCAGCAACGAGUGCUACAGCAAGAGGAGCCGGGCGGAGCCGCCGCUGUGCGAGGAGUCGGAUGACCCCAACGCCGCAUGGAACAUAACGCUGCAGGCGUGCAUGCACAGAGUGGCCACCGAGGCAGCGGCGCGAGGCUCGCGGUGGCCGGAGCAGUGGCCGGAGAGGCUGACGGCGGCGCCCUACUGGCUGAACGAGAGCCAGGUGGGCGUGUACGGCAAGCCCGCGGCGGAUGACCUGGCGGCGGACACGGAGCACUGGAGGGAGGCGGUCAACAGCUCCUACCUGAGCGGCAUGGGCAUCGAGUGGAAGAACGUGAGGAACGUCAUCGACAUGCGAUCCGUCUACGGCGGGUUGGCGGCGGCGCUGCGGGACAUGAAGGUGUGGGUGAUGAACAUCGUGCCGGUGGAGUCGCCGGAUACGCUGCCCAUCAUCUACGAGCGCGGGCUGCUGGGGAUGUACCACGACUGGUGCGAGUCCCUGAGCACGUACCCGAGGUCGUACGAUCUCGUCCACGCCGACCAUCUCUUCUCCAAGCUCAAGUACAGGUGCAAGGUGAGGCUGGUGAUGGCGGAGGUGGACCGGAUCCUCAGGCCAGAGGGGAAGAUGAUCGUCCGUGACGACAGGGACACGGCCGAGGAGGUGGAGAGGAUCGCCAAAUCUCUGCACUGGGAGGUCCGGAUGGCCGUGUCAAACCAGGGGGAGAGGCUGCUCUGCUUCCACAAGACCAUGUGGCGACCCACCCAAGUCCAACCACUCGUCUAG